rnacentral:rRNA from 1 species
GAUGAACGCUGGCGGCAGGCCUAACACAUGCAAGUCGAACGGCAGCACGGCAGUAGCAAUACUGUGGGUGGCGAGUGGCGGACGGGUGAGGAAUACAGUCGGGAUCUACCCUGUUGUGGGGGAUAACGUAGGGAAACUUACGCUAAUACCGCAUAAGAACUGAGGUUGAAAGCGGCGGACCGCAAGGCGUCGCGCGAUUGGAUGAACCGAUGUCCGAUUAGCUAGUUGGCGGGGUAAAGGCCCACCAAGGCGACGAUCGGUAGCUGGUCUGAGAGGACGACCAGCCACACUGGAACUGAGACACGGUCCAGACUCCUACGGGAGGCAGCAGUGGGGAAUAUUGGACAAUGGGCGCAAGCCUGAUCCAGCCAUGCCGCGUGGGUGAAGAAGGCCUGG